rnacentral:rRNA from 1 species
AGCUCCAAUAGCGUAUAUUAAAGUUGUUUGCAGUUAAAAAGCUCGUAGUUGGAUAUCUGGCCUUUGCAUAGCCGGCCGCCUUGUGGUUGAGUGCCGAAGUGCUGGCCUAUCUUUCGGUUGACGGCUAUCGCGCCACCAUAGCGCGGUAGUCGUUAUCCGGAUCGUUACUUUGAAAAAAUUGGAGUGUUCAAAGCAGGCUU